rnacentral:tRNA from 2 species
GCCGCUUUAGCUCAGUUGGUAGAGCACAUCAUUCGUAAUGAUGGGGUCAGGUGUUCGAGUCACCAAGCGGCACCA